rnacentral:rRNA from 1 species
UACGUAGGGGGCAAGCGUUGUCCGGAAUCAUUGGGCGUAAAGAGCGUGUAGGCGGCCCGGUAAGUCCGCUGUGAAAGUCCAGGGCUCAACCCUGGGAUGCCGGUGGAUACUGUCGGGCUCGAGUCCGGAAGAGGAGUGUGGAAUUCCCGGUGUAGCGGUGAAAUGCGCAGAUAUCGGGAGGAACACCUAUGGCGAAGGCAGCUCGCUGGGACGUUACUGACGCUGAGACGCGAAAGCGUGGGG